CGCCAGCCUAAGACAUCUUCGCCUGCUCUCAGACACAGUCAGUAGCAGGGGAAUGUCUUUACCAGGAAAGUUUUUUCUACUCUUGGAACUUCUGACUGUUUAAAUUCUAGCUACCACGAACUUCUCUACAGAGUCAACACCAUCGAGGAUAUUUUGGGAUCCGAGCCAUUAAUUGCAACACAGGCUGAUAAGAGCUGAAAAGUCCAGACGCCUAAGAAAGAAAGCAGUGCAAGCAGAGGCAUAGAAAUCUUAAGAUUCAACAUCUCCCUGCCCAGGUGGAGUCUGAGAAACUUAAAUAAUCUCCUUGCCUGUUCUAGGUUGUGAUCAGUUUCUGAGUGUUGUUGACACCAAGUGCCAUCAUUUGAAGUGGGCUUCUUCUCAUCAGGCAGCUGAAUAGCUUCAGAACUCAGUAAUUAAGGGGUCAGUGACUCAUGCAAAGCAUUCUACAUUUAGACACAGAUAACUUGUACUUCCAAACAUGACUGAAAAAAACCCUCACCUUUAACCAACUUUUAUUCCUCCUGCUCUCUCAUUUUCCUGGAAACUGAUUAGAAAUAGCUCUGUAAUUUAAGCCUAAUGACAAUUAAAGUACAAAGUCAUUA